rfam:Rattus norvegicus chromosome 5, whole genome shotgun sequence.
GGGGAUUUAGCUCAGUGGUAGAGCGCUUGCCUAGCGAACGCAAGGCCCUGGGUUCGGUCCCCAGCUCCG